rfam:Myotis lucifugus cont2.27136, whole genome shotgun sequence.
GCCCAUGUGGCUCAGUAGCUAGAGUGUAGGCCCGAAAACCCAAGGGUCAUGGGUUCAACUCCCAGUCAAGGUUG